CCUCCCAAAGUGCUGGGAUUACAGGCGUGAGCCACCGUGCCCAGCCAUUUUUUUGUAUUUUUUUGUAGAGACAGAGAUUCACCAUUUGCCCAGGCUGGUCUUGAACUCCUGGUCUCAAACAAUCCUCUUGCCUUAGCUUCCCAAAGUGCUGGAAUUACAGGUGUGAGCCACUGGGCCCGGCCUCUUGAUCUCUUUUUGAAGAAAGAUUUUACUGCUCUUCAUUACGUGAGUAGUUCUUAACUGGUGGCGAUUUUGUCCAGCAGUGGGUAUUUUGCAAUGUCUGAAGACAUUUUUGGUUGUCACAACUGUGAAAGUCUUACUACAGUUAUCUAGUGGGUAGAGGCCGGGGAUGUUGCUAAAACAUCCUACGUGCAUAGUACAGUCCCUAUAGCCAAGAAUUAUCUGAUUCAAAAUGUCUAUAGCAUUGCUAUUGGCAAACACUGAAUUAGAUAAUAGGAACCAAUGUACAUUAGUCAGGAAAGUCUGGGUUAUGGUUACAAAAAGGAUUUCUCCCACCUUUUUUUUUUUUUUUCUUCAGGCAGAGACUCUUCUGUCACCCAGGCUGGAGUGCAGUGGUGCAAUCUUGGCUCACUGCAACCUCUGCCUCCCGGAUUCAAAUGAUUAUUGUGCCUCAGCCUCCUGAGUAGCUAGGAUUACAGGCUUGUGCUGCCAUGCCCGGCUAAUUUCUUUGUGUUUUUAGUAGAGAGAGGGUUUUACCAUGUUGGCCAGGCUGGUCUCGAACUCCUGGGCUCAAGUGAUCAGCCUGCCUUGGCCUCCUAAAGUGCUGGGAUUACAGGCGUGAGCCACCGUGCCUGGCCUCCCCAAAUCUUACUAACUUAAAGCAACAUAUCUAGUCACAUGGCCCUAUCCAAUUCAAGGAAUCAAUCAUAUCAAGGUGCCUGGAAGUGGGGGAACUACAAGUGUUUGAUGAAGAACACUAAUGAAUACUAUACAGUAAUAUUUUUCCUUUGACUUCCGGGAAGCUUGGAACUCACUUUUAUACACAAUAGCAGUAGCUUUUGUGUUAGUGCCGGUCUUCCAAAAAGUAGAUGCCAAGAUUGGGUUAGACCUCAAGAGAUUUACUGAGAAAAGGCCUGAAAGGGAAAAUGGAAAGGAAGCUGGUGAAGCCUGGGAGAGCAUCAGGCUAUGAUGGAGAAGAGAGGGGAGGAAGGAAGGAAGGCAAGUUAGACGGGAAGAAUCUUACAGUGCAGUGCAAUUCUAAGAAAGUUUUGGCAUCACUUUUGAGGGGGAGUCUUUGAGCCAAAACUGCCUCUGAGAAGAGUCCUACAUCUCCUGGGUACAGUGUUCCCACAAUGCUCAGACAUUGACUGGGAGCAGCCUGUGCUCUGACAGAUUUCAGAGCACACACAGGACCAUUGGUGAAAUAUGCUCCCUGCAGGUGAGAUCUGAGAGGCACAUUCUCAUGGUUGCUUCAGUUCACCUGCUGGUAUUGCAUGAACAUGCCUUUCCACACAGGUCCAGGGAGAAGUUCCUCUGUGGUUCCUCAAGUCCUCCCUAUGUCACAUAUCCCAAUGUUCCACAGGACUCACUGCUUUUUCACAUUUGGUCUGACUUGCUGAUAUGGGUCUCAAAUUGUCUCCCAUUAACACAAUCUUCUUAAAAUUACAUUUUCUUCUAUAGUAUGGAUAGACCAUAAUUGGAUUCAUUUCCCUAUUGAUGGAACUUUAUUGAGGUUGCCUCGGGAUGGCGCUAUGCAGAUAAUUUUGCAAAGAGCAUUUGGGGCAGUCACGGUGGCUCAUGCCUAUAAUCCCAGCAUUUUGGGAGGCUGAGGCGGGAGGAUUA
rnacentral:lncRNA from 1 species